rnacentral:rRNA from 1 species
GAUUGAACGCUGGCGGCAGGCCUAACACAUGCAAGUCGAGCGGAUGAAGGGAGCUUGCUCCUGGAUUCAGCGGCGGACGGGUGAGUAAUGCCUAGGAAUCUGCCUGGUAGUGGGGGAUAACGUCCGGAAACGGGCGCUAAUACCGCAUACGUCCUGAGGGAGAAAGUGGGGGAUCUUCGGACCUCACGCUAUCAGAUGAGCCUAGGUCGGAUUAGCUAGUUGGUGGGGUAAAGGCCUACCAAGGCGACGAUCCGUAACUGGUCUGAGAGGAUGAUCAGUCACACUGGAACUGAGACACGGUCCAGACUCCUACGGGAGGCAGCAGUGGGGAAUAUUGGACAAUGGGCGAAAGCCUGAUCCAGCCAUGCCGCGUGUGUGAAGAAGGUCUUCGGAUUGUAAAGCACUUUAAGUUGGGGGGAAGGGCAGUAAGUUAAUACCUUGCUGUUUUGACGUUACCAACAGAAUAAGCACCGGCUAACUUCGUG